rnacentral:rRNA from 1 species
UACAGAGGUGGCGAGCGUUGUUCGGAUUUACUGGGCGUAAAGGGUGCGUAGGUGGUACCGUGUGUCGGUUGUGAAAUCCCACUGCUCAAUGGUGGAACUGCGAUCGAAACUGCGGAACUAGAGUGUAUGAGGGGAGAGCGGAAUUCUUGGUGUAGCGGUGAAAUGCGUUGAUAUCAAGAAGAACACCGGUGGCGAAGGCGGCUCUCUGGAAUACUACUGACGCUGAGGCACGAAAGCAGGGGGAG